UGGGGAAUUUUGGACAAUGGGCGCAAGCCUGAUCCAGCAAUGCCGCGUGCAGGAUGAAGGCCUUCGGGUUGUAAACUGCUUUUGUACGGAACGAAACGGCGAGCUCUAAUAAAGUUCGCUAAUGACGGUACCGUAAGAAUAAGCACCGGCUAACUACGUGCCAGCAGCCGCGGCAAUACGUAGGGUGCGAGCGUUAAUCGGAAUUACUGGGCGUAAAGGCGUGCGCAGGCGGUUAUAUAAGACAGAUGUGAAAUCCCCGGGCUCAACCUGGGACCUGCAUUUGUGACUGUAUAGCUAGAGUACGGUAGAGGGGGAUGGAAUUCCGCGUGUAGCAGUGAAAUGCGUAGAUAUGCGGAGGAACACCGAUGGCGAAGGCAAUCCCCUGGACCUGUACUGACGCUCAUGCACGAAAGCGUGGGGAGCAAACA
rnacentral:rRNA from 1 species